rnacentral:rRNA from 1 species
CGUGUAGGCGGUUGGUCAAGUCUGGUGUGAAAGCCCGGGGCUUAGCCCCGGAAGUGCGCUGGAAACUAGCCAACUUGAGCGCGAUAGAGGAGGGUGGGAUUCCUGGUGUAGCGGUGAAAUGCGUAGAUAUCAGGAGGAACACCGGCGGCGAAGGCGGCCCUCUGGGUCGUUGCUGACGCUGAGACGCGAAAGCGUGGGGAGCAAACAGGAUUAGAUACCCUGGUAGUCCACGCUGUAAACUAUGGGUACUAGGUGUUCGGGGUGUUGACCCCCUGAGUGCCGACGCUAACGCAUUAAGUACCCCGCCUGGGGACUACGGCCGCAAGGCUAAA